UAGUAGAGCGAAAGAACGGUAUAUAUGGUUUUGAGUGAAUGUGUAGAGUUACUGGAGGCGAAUGUAAGCAUCAAAUUACCAAGGUCUGUUUGAAACCACUCGUGGUUUGCGAAGAGUAAAUUGAACAUGUGUGGCGUUUUGCGAGUUACCUAUAUGCGGAAAUUGAUUUUAUACGAUCGUAAUUACAUAUUGCUAAAAAUUCGGCGACAGAUUGGAAAAGUUUUUGUAGGGAAGUGUGCAUUGAAGAAGAAUGUGAUGUUGAGUGGUGUGCUUGAAGGAGAAUGUGAUGGGGUGCAAAAGGAGAAGACUGAAGCUGACGAUACAUAUCGAUAGUCCAAUGAUCUACUCAACAGUAGCAAAACUGUAAACUUUGACCCUGGUUGCCAGGAGAAGGAAAUUCCCUGACUUUUCCAGGUGUGUUUUGAGAAAAUUCCAGUCUAUCCGCAUAGUGCGCAUUGGCUGCGCUGAGAGCUCAUGUGAAUCGACUAAAACAACCAUGGAGGUGCAAGUUCUGAUGAUGACGACAACCAGGAUACAGAAAAAUUACCAAGACAGAUUCCUUGACAAAAUCCUCUGAAUAUCUGAAGCCAAGGACUAAUGAUGGUUAGUUAUACAAUGGCCAAGGUAAGAACUUCUUUUUUUAAUACCUGCAUACACUUGAUAAAUGAAAAACUCAUGGACCCUUUGGGGCAUUCAAGAACUUUAAGACACUUAUCG